rnacentral:rRNA from 1 species
UACAGAGGGUGCGAGCGUUGUCCGGAAUCACUGGGCGUAAAGGGCGCGUAGGUGGCGCUCCAAGUCUGUGGUGAAAGCUCGAUGCUCAACAUCGAGUCGGCCAUAGAGACUGGAGGGCUCGAGCACUGUAGGGGCAGAUGGAAUUCCGGGUGUAGCGGUGGAAUGCGUAGAGAUCCGGAAGAACACCGGUGGCGAAGGCGGUCUGCUGGGCAGUUGCUGACACUAAGGCGCGGACAGCGUGGGGGAGCAAACAGG